AAAAAGGGCAUCUGCUAUGUUUGGCACAGCGGGGACAGAUAUUCUGCCACUGUUGCGGAAUCGCUAUCAAGAGAUUUCGGAUGCACAAUUUUUAUAAAUCGGGGCUGCUGGUGAUCUUUGGUCUUAGCGUCCCA